UGGGGAAUCUUGCGCAAUGGGCGAAAGCCUGACGCAGCAACGCCGCGUGAGCGAAGACGGCCUUCGGGUUGUAAAGCUCUGUCAGGAGGGACGAAGCCACUCAGGUGAAUAGCCGAGAGGGUGACGGUACCUCCAGAGGAAGCCCCGGCUAACUACGUGCCAGCAGCCGCGGUAAUACGUAGGGGGCAAGCGUUGUCCGGAAUCAUUGGGCGUAAAGCGCGUGUAGGCGGCCAUCCAAGUCCGAUGUGAAAGCUCGGGGCUCAACCCCGAGUCUGCAUUGGAAACUGUAUGGCUUGAGUCCGGAAGAGGAGACUGGAAUUCCAGGUGUAGCGGUGAAAUGCGCAGAUAUCUGGAAGAACACCGGUGGCGAAGGCGGGUCUCUGGGACGGUACUGACGCUGAGACGCGAAAGCGUGGGGAGCAAACA
rnacentral:rRNA from 1 species